rnacentral:misc_RNA from 1 species
UUUCCGUAGGUGAACCUGCGGAAGGAUCAUUAUCAAAAGUCAAGUCGGGGGCUGUAAAGCUCUCGUCUACACCCAUGUCUUUUGCGUACUCUUGUUUCCUCGGUGGCGCAAGCUGCCGAUUGGACAAACCAAAACCUUUUUUGUAAUUGCAAUCAGCGUCUGAAUCAUAACUAAGAAAUAAGUUAAAACUUUCAACAACGGAUCUCUUGGUUCUG